rnacentral:lncRNA from 1 species
AACGCCGUCGCGCUUUCCGCAUCACAUAACCUGUAGUUUGGUACAGCGACGACGCAGUCGCAGCGUGUAGCCAUCCUGGCUCCGUCGUACUGCCGCAGCC